GCUUUGCAACGCCCUGACAAAGACACUUGUAUUCCCAAGACAGCCUUGGAGGAGCUGCUGAUAGGCAUUAACCUCUUUCUGUCCCUAAUAAUGACGGGCAAUGCACGGAUGUUCAGGUCUGGGACUCAGAGCAGAGCCCAAGGCCUGCCCGCCUCCUCUGAACCUGGAGGUGGUGUAGGUAGAACAGAACAUCUGGCCUCACUCAUCCUUCCCGCCAAGGCGUCCUUGCCUGUAUUUAUAUACACUAAAACCUCUGCCCAGAUAAAACAGCCAUGUAAAAUCCAAUUUCCUCAGAAUCUCUUUUGGAGCCUGGGCCUGAGAGAUGGAGUUAGGUAACCCCGGCGGUUACCGCCUGAACCACUCCUGCUGGCUGCAAACAAAGAUCCUUGAGAGGGGCACCCAGUAGGUACUCAAGAGUUGUUUGGAAAAUGAAUGAUCAGAAGAGGGAACAAGCAGAGUGGGGAAUUGAGGAAGGAGGAACCAGUCUCUGAGCUGUGCGACCCCCAAACUGCUGGCUUCUCCGACCUCAACUGUGUUGUGGAACCGCCAGGGGGCGGCGCGACCCUGUUGGUCGCCAAGGGGAUCUCCGUGCUUCCUCGUCGAGGCUGUCUGUGACCUGUCGCUUCCAAUGCCUGGUCCUUGCAUGGCCAACGACCUCUACCCUCUCCCAGAGGCCUUAAGCUUGUAACCUGUCCCCUCCUGGACUGUGAAAAGAACAUAUAGCCCGACCUCCCUGCCAACAAGCUGUACCAUUGGGAAGAGGAGAGCCCAACGGUAGAAGCUCAUCAAUGAUUCCCAGCCUCUGUUUCCAUCAGAAUUGCUUGAUGAAGCUCCUUUAACACAAAUAGAUUUACUCACAUUCCUUAACUGUAAAAGGUGUGCAUGUGCCAGCAGGGGGUUCUGGAAUCAUGUACCUUUGUCAGAGCUCCCCCAUUUAAUUCUGAUACAAUUCCACGUAUUACCUAAAGAGAACCACUACUGAUGCGUUGGGUUUUUGUUUGUUUGUUUGUUUGUUUUGGUUGAAUGUGGUAGCUCAGCCCUGGGUAUUUGCCCUUGUGAAUAUGCCCAUGUCACAAAUGUGUGAAUGUUGGGUAUCUGUGUGAUUGGAUAAGCAUUGCUUUUUGCUUCUCUUUGUGCACCCUCUCUGUCUGGAUGUCACUGGG
rnacentral:lncRNA from 1 species